AAUUAUCAAUUAAAGAGAAAGAAUUUACUGGUAUUGGAAUGAAAUUUCUUCCAAUUGCCAAAAAAAAUAAAAAUAAAAAUAAAAAAAUUUCAAGGAAAUCAUCUAUCUUUUAGUGUUCGUUUGGCUUUGUUUUACAUAAAAAUUCUCAAUUAAAGGAAAUUUUUUUUUAUACAAUUAGAGAUAGAAUUGUUUCCAUUGCAAAAAAAAAAAAAAAAAAAAAAAAAAAAAAAAAAGGGCCCAACAGCCUAGAAAAUGAAUUCUCACCAAUUUGGUGAGAAUUCAUUUUCCUCAAUUUGGUGGAAAAUGGUAUAGGUGGCAUCAAAGUGGGAAAAUGAAUUCCAUAGAAAAAAACCUAUCAAACAUCAAUUUUUGGUUUAGGGUGGAAAUCAAAUUCCAUUUUCCAUGGAAUUCAUGCCUUUCAAACAUAGCCUAAGAUUUUUUAAUUUUUGAAUAUUUUUGGUGACCUCCAACCCAAACUAGAGGUGUACGUUUGGCACCGCGAAAAUUCGUUGGGUCUAGCAUGGUCUGGUCCAGACCAUACAUGAUAUGGUGAAGUCAUCUGGUAGGAUAAGUCUGAAAAUGAUGCUCCAAUACAAACAACACUAGAUGAGACUAACUCAGAGUGAGAGAAAAAGGACAGAGAC
rnacentral:sRNA from 1 species